UAACCUUCGUGAGGUCCAGUUUAAAGAUUAUAAGCAAAACAAAAAGCAUUUGGGGUUAGCAUAGAGGAAUCCACAAACCAAUAAGAAAUAAACCUAACUGCAUCUUUCUAGACCUUCCCUAAUUUACUUAUAUAUGUGCGAUUUCAGAUAAGUAAUCUCUAGGUAUGAUUUGAUGGUUUUUCAUCUGGCUUAAGCGUCUCACAGCAUAACUGCUCCCUGUUCCCCUCUUUCCCGGAGAACCACAACACACAGACAAAGGGAAGGUUUUUUUUCCCAAUUUUAAGAAGUUCUAGCCCUCCCAUUGACUCUUUUGGUCAGGUGCCCACUCCUUUCCUUUUACCUGUGGGCUUAUUAGGCUUUUACAGGUAAAGCACAUAGAGAACCACCACCAAGAGGGAUUCCAUAGCCAACUGGCUGGCUGGGAGUCUCCAAAAGGGAGCUAUCCCCUCUCUCAUUUAUCACAACAGAAGAGGAGAAAGGGGCAGAAAGAACCAUUUAAAGGGAAGGGACCGGGGAAUUUAUAGUAUAAGUCUAAAAACAAAGCUAACUUUACUUUUCCAAAAUGAAAUCCCAACUGAGUAGUGAAGAAAGUUUAGUGCAGUUCACCUCUUGGAACAAGUUGCAAGAUCACUAAUUCUUUUCACCUUUGACACAAUCAUUUAUUACAAUGGCAAGUUAAAGCACAGAAGGUUUGUGCCAUUAUCAGAAUCAGAUAUUUUUAAAAUUCACUUGGGCUUUUAUCUGGAUUUAGUUUGUUGAAAUUUUUAACCGGAGGAAAAACCCAUUACAGUUUAAUGAUAUUAUUGCAUUAGCUUUAUUUUAGUAAAGUUAGGUCCCAAUACCACCAAAGAAAAAGUCUUAGCCUAUCAGUGGAUAUGUAAUUCCUGGAACUAACAACUCACUAUGGUAUACUAAGAAAAAGGCAAAAGCAGCCAGUUUCUUUUCAUCAAAAAAGUUAAUCAUCAACCUUUAUUUUUUUUCUUGUUAAAACAGUCUAUCAUAGUUUGGAACUGUUGCAGGGCAAAUGCACAUGCACAUUGUUUUCUUUAAUUUGGUGGGAGAAAAGGACAGAAGAGUGCCUCUAGUUCCCACGAGCUCUCUCCACUUAGUCCAGUGACCCCUGUUAUACAAACAACUUAGCAAAAAUUUAGUUUCCCCGAGCCAGCUAGCGUACUGAAACUCCAAAGUACUUGGAAAGAAAAGUAUAAUCUCUUGAAUAAUAAUUUAUAUAAUUAUUCACCUACAAAGCAAACAAGUGAAAAACAAAUUAGUUAUGUGACAGAGCUGACUAGGCUGAGAGGUUUAUAUAGCUUACAAGAUGGUGCACUGACGUCAUGGAGAAAAAGAAAAAGUGAGCUAUGACAGCUGCUUGCCACUAUCACCAAUGCUGAUCUGCAAAGUCAUCACUACUCAGCGAAGAAAAUAAUGGAUUCCACAGAAGUGGAAGAGGAUGAAUCUGCACAGAUGGAGAGACUGUAUGGCCCUUAACUGCCCUUUAUUCCAAUACACUGAGUCUGGCCUCUUCCUGCUAAUCGAACAGUUGGACUCAGAUGGAUUUUUCGAAUGCUGCUUUUACUAACUAGUCUUGAGUGUGUGAAAAAUUCAUCUCAAGAAAUGGCUGGACCAAUGUGAUCACUUGAGGAAGAACAGCCAUUUUCUUCGGCAGAUUGAAGAAAAGUGGUGAAUGGAAAUGCAAGAGAUCAGCGGGAAUAUAAAUACAGUAGGAGAAGAAAAGAGGAAGACGAGAGAAUUAAGACAGAUAAAUGAGGUUUAGGAGACCUACGUGGCCAACCAAAAUGGGUUCCUCAACUAACAUUAUUAGUCCUAACCAGAACAAUGUAGCUAAUUAAAGUGCAAGUGAUUUCAAUCUAGUUAACUUUACUUAAAACAGAAAACUUAGGGCAUGUCCACACUUACCUCCAGAGCGAUCGAUCCAGCAGGGGUCAAUUUAUCGCAUCUAGUGAAGACGCGAUAAAUUGACCGCCAAGCGCUCUCCCGUCAACUCCGGUACUCCACCGGAGCGAGACGCAUAGGAGAGUUGAUGGGAGAGUAUCAAUAGUCGACCUGCCGCAGCGAAGACACCACGGUAAGUAACUCUAAGUACGUCGACUUCAAGUAUGCUAUCUUCGUAGCUGAAGUUGCAUAACUUAAACCAAUUUAGCUCGCCCUCCCCUGCCCCCUGGGGUAGACUAGGCCUUAAUUUGACAGGUCAAUUCAUGACAGUGAAGUGAUGGAUAACAGAUAAGGUUGAAAGAAAACUGGGUAAUCUCAGAUACACUGAUAUACAGUGUUGGUGCGAUAUAAUAAAAUGAAUAUAAAUCCUUAUUCAAAUCAAGUUUAUAACAAUGAAAAAGUCAUCUUGUAAUGCAAAACAUAGCAAGUGUCCAAUCUGAAAUCUAAACUACAAAGUGUAGAUAUACAUCUGAUUCAAUUAAUUCUUACAGGGUUUUUUAUUUAUUUAUUUUAUUGUAAAGGAACUACAGCAACCUGCACCGAUUAGAUAGCAAAAAAAAUUGAAGAUUGUAAGCAGGGCACAAACUGGUCUGAGGAAGAUAUACUUAUUUAACUUUUAUGUAUUUAUUGAGACUCUACUACAAUUGUGGAUUGAGGAUUGAUAGAACACACAGAGGUUUCUGCAUCUAGAGAUUUGUAACGUUACACACCAGAACAGAAUUGGACAGACUUAACUUAGCAUCAUAGAUACUUUUCAUUUGAGAUUAAAUGAUUUUAUUUUAUAGAAUAUAUAAAAAUAAUAAACUUCUAAUACAUGAAGUGACCUCAAGAUCAAUCUGAAUUUUCAGAUUGUGUCAUGAUACCAAAAAGUAUUAAAAAUAUAGGGUCAGUGAAGAAAAGUACUUACGUUGGUA